ensembl:lncRNA novel transcript
GAAACUUAAAAACUCAUUAUUGAGUUCUCUUUCCCAUCUUGCAAGAUGGUGAGAAGUUGGAUACUGAGGAGAAGAAACCCGAAGCCAAGAAGGCUGAUGCUGGUGGCAAGGUGAAAAGGGGGAACCUCAAAGCUAAAAAGCCCAAGGGGGAAGCCCCAUUGAAGCUGAAAUCCCAUCCUUGUCAGAGGAAUUGGCAGAUAUUCCCAAUCUGCUACAUAUUCCAGAAAGGCCGUGUACAAGAGGAAGUACUCAGCUGCUAAAUCCAAGGUUGAAAAGAAAAAGGAGGAGAAGGUUCUUGCAACUGUUACAAACAGUUGGUGGUGACAAGAAUGGUGGUACCCGGCUGGUUCAACUUCACAAAAUGCCUAGAUAUUCUCCUACUGAAGACAUGCCUUGGAAGCUAUUGAGCCAUGGCAAAAACCCCUUCAGCCAGCAUGGGAGAAAAUUGUAAGCCAGCAUCACCCCUGGGACCUUCUGAUCAUCCUCACUGGACACCACAGAGGCAAGAGGGCGGUUCUCCUGAAGAGCUGGGCAGUGGCUGUUACUUGUGUCUGGACCUCUGGUCCUCAGUUGAGGACACACCAGAAAUUUGCCAUUGCCACCUCAACCAAAAUUGGUAUCAGCAAUGUGAAAAUCCCAAUACAUCUUACUGAUGCUUAAUUCAAGCAGCAGCAGCUGCAGAACCCCAGACACCAGAAAGGUGAGCUCUUCGACACACAAACAGAGAAGUACAAGAUUACAGGGCAGCGCAAGGUUGAUCAUCAAAAAGCUGUGGACUCACAAAUUUUACUGAGUAUCAAAGCUAUUCCUCAGCUCCAGGGCUACCUGAGAUCUGUGUUUGCCCUGAUGAGUGGAGUUUAUCCCUCACAAACUGGUGUUCUAAAUUUCUUAAGAACCUAAUAAAGGAUAUAUAAAAAUAAAAUAA